GUCCUUUUCUGGCCCAGGGUUCACUUCUGGAUUAAAUGUUACUCUUAGUUGUCAUGUCCCCUUAGUUUCUCCCAAUCUGGGGCGAUUCCUCAGUGUUUUGUUUUUCCUCUCUCUUUUAUUUUAAAUGAUUGUGACACUUUGGAAGAAUACAGGACACAGGUCAGUCUUUUGGUAGAAGGUCUGUUAUCUGCUGUUUCCUCAUAUUAAUAUUUAAAUUCAGAAAAUACAUUUCCCUAUGUAUCCUUAAUCCAUUAGUUUCCAUUUCUAUUGAAGAACCUUGCCUGAAACCGUUAGUGUCGUGGUGUUCACUAAGCAAUAAUGUCCAGCAUCGCUUCUUCAUUUAAAAAUUGGGACUUUACUAAGGAAAGAGCUUUUCAUACUGCUCAUGGAGUUCUUGAGCCAAGAAUACUUGAGUGGUUUGCUAUUCCCUCCUGUGGACCACAUUUCAUGAGACUUCACAACUGAACAACAACAACACAAACUUAAGAAGACAACUGAGCAACAACUAAAGGGAAGAGCUCUGUUUUUCCUUCAUUUUUUGUGGUGUUCUGUCGCUCAGUCAUGUCUGACUCUUUGUCACCCCAUGGACUGCAGCACACCAGGCUUCCUUACCUUCACCAUCUCCCAGAGCUUGCUCAAAGUCACGUCCAUUGAGUCAGUGAUGCCAUCCCACCAUCUCAUCUUCUGUUACCCCCUCCUCCUGCCUUCAAUCUUUCCCAGCAUCAGGGGCUCUUCUAAUGAGCUGGCUCUUGGCAUCAGGUGGAAUAAGCUCUUUGCAUCAAAGAAUUGGAGAUUCAGCUUCAACACCAGUCCUUCUAAUGAGUAUUCAGGACUGGUUUCCUUUAUGAUGGACUGGUUUGAUCUUCUUGCAGUCCAAGAAACUCUCUAGAGUCUCCAACACCACAGUUCAAAAGCAUUAAUUCUUCAGCACUCAGCCUUCUUUAUGGUCCAAUUCUCACAUCCAUACAUGACUACUGGAAAAACCAUAGCUUUGACUAUAUGGACCUUUGCUGACAAAGUAACAUCUCUGCUUUUUAAUAUGUUGUCUAGGUUUGUCAUAACUUUUCUUCCAAGGAGCAAACAUCUUUUAAUUUCAUGGCUGCAGUCACCAUUUGCAUUGAUUUGGGAAACCAGGAAAAUAAAGUCUGUCACUGUUUCCAUUGUUUCCGUAUCUGUUUGCCAUUAAGUGAUGGGACCAGAUGCCAUGAUCUUCAUUUUUUAAAUGUUGAGUUUUAAGCCAGCUUUUUCACUCUCCUCUUCUGCCUUCAUCAAGUGGCUCUAAAUUUAGUUCCUCUUACCUUUCUGUCAUAAGGGUGGUGUCAUCUGCAUACCUCAGGUUAUUGAUAUUUCUCCCAACAAUCAAGAUUCCAUCUUGUGCUUCAUCUAGCCCAGCAUUUCAUGUGUUCUACUCUGUAUAUAAGUUAAAUAAGCAAGGUGACAAUAUACAACCUUGACAUACUCCUUUCCCAAUUUGGAACCAGUCCCUUGUUCUAUGUUUAGUUCUAACAGUUGCUUCUUGACCUACAUAUAGAUUUCUCAGGAGGCAGGUAUGGUGGUCUGGUAUUUCCAUCCCUUGAAGAAUUUUCCACAGUUUGUUGUGAUCCAUACAGUCAAAGGCUUUAGCAUAAUCAAUGAAGCAGAAGUAGAUGUUUUUCUGGAAUUCUCUUGCUUUUUCUAUGAUCCAAUGAAUGUUGGAGAUUCAGUCUCUGGUUCCUCUGCCAUUUCUGAAUCCAGUUUGAACAGCUGGAAGUUGUUGGUUCACGUAUUGUUGAAGGCUAGCUUGGAGAAUUUUGAGCAUUACUUUACUAGCAUGUGAGAUGAGUGCAAUUGUGUGGUAGUUUGAGCAUUCUUUGGCAUUGCCCUUCUUUGGGGUUGGAAUGAAAACUGACCUCUUCCGGUCCUUUGACCACUGCUGAGUUUUCCAAAUUUGCUGGCAUAUUGAGUGCAGCACUUUAAUAGCAUCAUCUUUUUCAAUCUGAAAUAGCUCAGCUGGAAUUCCAUCACCUCCGCUGACUUCAUUUGUAGUGAUGCUACCUAAGGCCCACUUGACUUUGCACCGAGAUGCCUGACUCUAGGUGAGUGAUCACACCAUCAUCAUUUAACUGUUUAUAGCUAUAAGCUUACACAAAAAUGAUACUUUGUAAAGUAUUUGUGAGGCAUUAUUUUACCAGGCAGUCCAUUUUCCUGAGAGAUAGCUGGUAGAGGUUUUCUCAUCUCCAGUUUACAUAUAAAGAUCCUGAAGUUCAGCGACUUGCAUAUUUGUCUACCGUCUCCAACAGAGAUGAUGAAGUCCUGGAAAGUAGUGCAUUGGAUCUUGUUUAUUCACUUCCAUGAUGCCUAGAAGACCCACCUAGUGCAAAUGAAGUGAAAAGAAAACAUUAAUUGGUAAGAUUCAAUGGUAAAUCCAAGACAAAUGGCCAGAAUUCACUGUUGGUAAAGAGAGAUGAAUAAACAUGCCGUUAGGCUGUGAUGAACAUGCUAUGGCAGACAUAAUUGUGGUAUUCAGAAUGUACUUUUGAAUAAAUAAUGUUUUGGGGAUAUGAAGUAACUGAGCAUGGAAGGCAGAUACCGUCUGGUAUGAAACUCUUCUGGGGUCCUGGCGUGGUUCACUCUGUCCCUCUUGUCCCACUGUAUUUCCCCUAUUCUCACCUGUCUAAGUCAUUCUUAGUCUUUCGUUCUCAGCAUAGACUUUGUUUCCUUCUUGAGGAUGGUCCUGAUUCUGUUUAAGUUUGAGGAUACUUAUUUGGAGUUUGCCAUCAUCCUGUAUUUUCUACACCCAAGUGUGUUUUACACCACGUUGUGUUGGAGGUAAAAGGUUGCAUGCAGCCCCAUCUUCUUGGAACACUGUCUGGUGGAGAAGAUAUUACUAAACCUCAGUUUUCCUGAUAAGAUAGAAUGGGCUAGUCCUUAGGAGAUCUCAGGGCAACUGGCUUAUUUGGAAUCUGUUCCCUGUUUCUCUCCAACCAUAUGAUUUCUGACAAAUUGCUCUAAGUGCUCGAAGUGUCAUUUUUUUCUUUUCUGGAAUUUACAAAUAAAAGUGAUACUCCAAGGUUUGUGGUUAGAAUUAAUUUGAAUAUAAUAAUAUAUGUAAAGUGCUUAUAAAUAAAUCUCUUACUUUUGGAAAGUGCCUUUUAGUUAAGAAAACACUUAACAUUACUCUGUCCUUUAACUAGUGACUAGACUCUGUAAAUCACUGAGGUGUCUCAUCUAUCCAACACUCCAUAAGAUGUAAACCAGCAGGCAGGAAGAACACUCCAAGAACUGCUCCUUUUGACAUAUGAAUAUUUCACCUGACUGCUUCCAAUUCUGCUUCUAGAUUAUAGUUCAGUGUCUGUCUUCCACCUCUCCCCAGGAAGUUUGUUUUCAUAUUUUGCUUAAGCUUUCUCUAUUCCAUUAUCCUAGCCAUGAGGCCACUGAAAAUGUAGAUCCAGUGACAUUAGAGCACCCUUUGGAUUUUGAUUACAAGUCCCUAUUCUAAAAGGAACACAAAUACCAAUCCAUACAUCUCAGAUCCCCAGAAUAUCAGAGUGGGAAGAAGUCUUCCCAGAAGAUUUCACUUUACAGAUGGAAAAAGCUGAGGUCAUAAAGCAAAUUAGUAAUAUUACCAAGAUUAGAACUCAAUCUGCUCUCUCCAAAUAUUGAAUUCUUUCCAACCCAUAAAUAGGUACAUGAAAAAAACAAAACCAGAUCACUGAACUUACCCAUUUCAGGCAAAUUAGUCCAAAUUUUCCUUUAGUUUAUAGAUAUGGAAAUCCUUGGGAAAUCUAAGCUGAGUUUGAUUUCUCUUUGGGGACUUAUCUCUGAGGACAGAGAAAUUAAAGAAAAUUUUGGAAACCCCAGUGCUAUGAACUGAACUGUUCCCCUCUCCUCUCUACCAAAAUUCACGUGCUGAAGCCCCAGCUCUCAGUGUGAUUGUGUUUGGAGAGAAGGUCCUUUCAAGGGUUGUGCACAUGUUCUAAAUCACUUCAGACAUGUCAGACUCGUUACAACACCAUGGACUGAGGCCUGCCAGCCAGGCUCCUCUGUCCGUGGGAUUCUCCAGGCAAGAAUACUGGAGUGGGUUGCCAUGCCCUUCUCCAGGGACUCUUCCCGACCCAGGGAUUGAACCCACAUCUCCUGCACUGCAGGUGAGUUCUUUUCCACUGAGCCGCUGGGAAAGCCCCCUCUUAGGAGUUAUUAAGGUUAAAGAAGAUUGUAAGGAAGGAGCUCUAAUGUGAUGUGACAGUGGCCUUAUAAGUAAAGGAUGAGAGCUCUCUCUUUCUUUUUGUCUGUGUGUAUGCUCUCACCAAAACUGUUCACACUGGCACCCUAGUCUUGGGUUUCCAGCACACACAAGUGUGAGAACAUAGAUUUAAAUUGUAUGGCAUUUUGUUAUGACAACCCAAGUCAGCUAAUAUACCCAGGAUUGUAUCCCACAUGCAAAGAAUAUAAUCAGUCUGAUCUCAGUAUUGACUAUCUCAUGGUGUCCAUGUUUAGAGUCAUCUCUUGUGUUGUUGGAAGAGGGUGUUUGCUAUGACUGAUGUGUUUUCUUGACAAAACUCUGUUAGCCUUUGCCCUGUUUCAUUUUCUACUCUGAGGCCAAGCUUGCCUGUUACUCCAGGUAUCUCUUGACUUCCUACUUUUGCAUUCCAGUCCCCUAUGAUGAAAAGGACAUCUUCUUUUGGUGUUAGUUCUAGAAGAUCUUGUGGGUCUUCAUAGAACAGUUCAACUUCAGCUUCUUCAGCAUUAGUGGUUGGGGGUUAGACUUGGAUUACUGUGAUAUAGAAUGAUUUGCCUUGGAAAUGAACAGUGAUCAUUCUGUCAUUUUGAGACUGCACCCAAGUACUGCAUUUGGGUAUAAGAAGAUCAAACCAGUCAUUCCUGAAGGAAAUCAAUCAUAAACAUUCAUUGGAGGGACUGAUGCUAAGGCUGAAGCUCCUAUACUUUGGCAACUUGAUGUGAAUAGCUGACUCAUUAGAAAAGACCCUGAUGGUAGGAAAGAUUGAAGGCAGGAGGAGAGGGGAUGACAGAGGAUGAGAUGUUUGGAUGGCAUCAUUGACUUGAUGGUCAUAAGUUUGAGCAAGUUCCAGGAGAUGGUGAAGGACAGGGAAGCCUGGCAUGCUGCAGUCCAUGGGGUAGCAAAGAGUAAGACAAGACUGAGUGACUGAACAACAGUAUAUCCCAUAUGCAGUGUGAGUAUAUUUUAAGUCUUUACCAAAUGCAACCUGUGGUUGACUUCUUAGCAAUUGAAAAUAGGAUAUGAACUGGCAAUGACUUUUUUUUUUCCAAUAAGUGCCCUUCAUUUCAGUUAGAAUUAGUAUCCAUGAAUUCCUAACUGUAAUGUGAGGUGAUAGGUGGAAGAGGGGAGGGGGAGCUCAGGAAUAAUAUUAUAUCCUGUUUUCAUUGAGAGGGUUAGUGCUCAAAAUAGUCAGAAUUGGGGAAACUUUUGAGACAUGGAUGGAGAACCCUUCUUGUAUUCCAGCAGCAAAUGGGUAGGUCUCUCUCCCACCCUCCCACCGGUACAGAGCUGCUCCCAGCGGGACACUGGGAUUCCUCACUGUGGUCUAAUUUUAAGUGAAUCAAAUGAGGUGGCACUCUGCCACAUCCCUCUGGAAACUAUUCGAAAAUCGAGCAGAUCUCAUCCUUUGAAAAUGUUCCUUGAGUAAUGGAAACAUGAGGAAGGGGAAUACACUGCAGACCCCGGAUGCAUCCUUCAACCACAGUGGAAUGCAAUCUGCCAGACUCACUCUUGCAGUGGUCAAGAUGGACGUGGGAAAGAUCUGGGGAAGAGAAUGAUGAGGUCUGCUUGUUGUCUUAAAUCGCUUUCAUCACUAGAUGCUCUCAAGGAUUAAAUGACACAGUGCUAGGCACAUUGGGAGGUACUCAAUUCCAUUUCAAUACAAGACCUGUAGACACUGUUACAUGGUAGCUACCAGGUAGGUAAAAGAUUAGAGUUUUCCGUUUUUCAUAUAGAUAUUACACUGUGUUGGAAAGGUUCUAAGAGUCCAUUUAGUUGUAAGUUAAUUUAUUCAUUUAAAAAAUGGGAAAACUAAGCCUGACUAGGAGUCUAGUGUAUGUCCAUCUCAGUAGAGGGUGCCAAAGCCCACCUGCUCCAUAGGUGUAGCAGAGGAGAAUCUGCUACAUCUAACCCCAUCCAGCUGCCUCCUUACCACACCUGUGCUUAUUCUUUCCUAAAGAAAAAAAAAAUCUAAUAGUGCAUUGCUUCUUUAGGGUAAAACUUUGCUUUUUGUUUCUGUAAGUAUAUACUGAAGGGACUGAAAGUUUAAUUGAAAAUCUAAAGCUUUUAGAAUCAAUAUUUCAUAUUUCUGUUAGUUUUGGGCAGCAAUGUAUGCUUGUCUCUUUUUAGCAUCUCUGAGUCAGACUUAAGAUUGCAGGACUGUGAAUCAGGAAGGACAUGUACCUUUGAUCCCAAGCAAAUGAUUCACAGCAUCGUGGGAGCACCAGCUUGAAAAGCAUUAGAAAUGCUAACACACCACUCACCACACCCGCUCCAUGCACAGGGUGGCAACAUCAUGCCCUCUGAAAUAUCUGUCAAGUACCUGUCCCAUUUUCUGAGGACCCAUCAUAUACUAAAACCAUCAUUUCCGUGUUACUGCUUUAAUUCCAGUGACCACCCUAUGAGCUGGUGUUGGAGCAUUGAAUGUAUAGGGAAGCCAGCCUAUAUACAUCACAUAUCAAGUCUAGGAAACACCCCCCAACCCUGCAAAUAAAAGACCACAACAACAAAAGCAC
ensembl:lncRNA